UUAAUUGAAGCCAAAAUAGAGGCUUAUCACUGUUAAUGAUAAAACUGAAAAAUAUUUCCAAUUAAA
rnacentral:tRNA from 1 species